AACUUUCAACAACGGAUCUCUUGGCUCUCGCAUCGAUGAAGAACGCAGCGAAAUGCGAUAAGUAAUGUGAAUUGCAGAAUUCAGUGAAUCAUCGAAUCUUUGAACGCACCUUGCGCUCCUUGGUAUUCCGAGGAGCAUGCCUGUU
rnacentral:rRNA from 3 species